rnacentral:rRNA from 1 species
UUCUAGUUAAUUUACUUUGAGUAAAUUAGAGUGUUCAAAGCAGCCUCUUGGGGCUUUGAAUAGAUUUAGCAUGGGAUAAUAGAAUAGGAUUUGAUAACCUAUUUGUUGGUUUGAGUUAAUCAAAUAAUGAUUAAUAGGGACAGUUGGGGGCAUUCAUAUUAAAUGGUUAGCGGUGAAAUGUGUGGACCCAUUUAAGAUGAACUAAAGCGAAAGCAUUUGCCAAGGAUGUUUUCAUUAAUCAAGAACGAAAGUUAAGGGAUCGAAGACGAUUAGAUACCGUCGUAGUCUUAACUAUAAACUAUGCCGACCAGGGAUAUGAGUAGUUUAUUUCAUUAGUUUUCGGACUAGUGAUACUUCUCCUUAUGCACCUUGUGAGAAAUCAUAAGUUUUUGGGUUCUGGGGGAAGUAUGGUCGCAAGGCUGAAACUUAAAGGAAUUGACGGAGGGGCACCACCAGGAGUGGAGCGUGCGGCUUAAUUUGACCCAACACGGGAAAACUUACCAGGUCCAGACAUUUGAAGGAUUGACAGAUUGAUAGCUCUUUCAUGAUUAAA